rnacentral:rRNA from 1 species
UACGGGGGGGGCAAGCGUUGUUCGGAUUCACUGGGUUUAAAGGGUGCGUAGGCGGGCAGGUAAGUCCGUGGUGAAAUCUCUGAGCUUAACUCAGAAACUGCCAUGGAUACUAUUUGUCUUGAAUAUUGUGGAGGUAAGCGGAAUAUGUCAUGUAGCGGUGAAAUGCUUAGAUAUGACAUAGAACACCAAUUGCGAAGGCAGCUUACUACACAGUUAUUGACGCUGAGGCACGAAAGCGUGGGGAUCAAACAGG